AUCCCUUUCUCCAGACCAGUGGCACCUAUGUGCACUAUAUAGUUGUUUUGCAUCCAAUGGCAAAUCUAGACUUCUCAAGAUAACCUCUAUCAGACUUCUUAAUGCUUAGUUAUCUUUUUUACACAAGAGAUCAUUCAAAAGGUGAUACUAACACUGGUUAAUAAAAAGAUUGUCAAGAUUUUUUUUAGAAAAAGAAGAAAAAAAUUAUGGCGGGCUGAAAGGGCAAUGGUACAAUAUCAAUCAACCAAGGUGCAGACUAAGAUACUGCUAUGCAGUGUUGCUCCUCUAUGAGGCUCGAGGAUUUUAUGUGCUUGCAGCCUGAUGUGUUAAAAUAGAAGCUCUUCAAAGUUGUGAGACUUAAUCUCUUGCUUUGUUCUCGUUGUUGACAUUUCAGAAUUCAGAAAAAUAGAACCCACCAAGUAGGGACAUGCGUAAACCAAAGUGCCCAGUCUAAAUGAGGCAAUCAAGGCCACAAAUGAUGAACCCAUCUUCAAAUCAAAGCUGGCAUUAUCAAUCAACCAACUUCCAAUGAAGACUACAGGCGAUGAACCCAUG
rnacentral:lncRNA from 1 species